UACAGAGGGUGCGAGCGUUGUCCGGAAUCACUGGGCGUAAAGGGCGCGUAGGCGGCGCGGUAAGCGUGCGGUGAAAGCCCGGGGCUCAACCCCGGGUCGGCCGUGCGGACUGCCGGGCUGGAGCACUGUAGAGGCAGGUGGAAUUCCGGGUGUAGCGGUGGAAUGCGUAGAGAUCGGCAGGAACACCCAGGGGGAAACCAGCCGACUGGGCAUCUACUGACGCUGAGGUGCGAGAGCGUGGGGAGCGAACCGG
rnacentral:rRNA from 1 species